CUACAUCUGAUCAGUUCUUGCCUUAGAUCUAGCCAAAUGACAAAGUUUUAUUCUGAAGUCUUUGAAUGAAUAGGAUGGAAUCACAUCAUAUCUACUUUUGUGUUAGAAAAUGUUGGACUGUCAAAAACGACUCAUCAACACCUUCUUUCAUGGCAACAAACCUCUGUGAAAUGCCACUAUCUGUAGAGCACAGUGACAGAGUCUGCAAAUGAAGAAAAGAUAAAGACACAGCAUAUACCUUUUGGGGGCCUCAAGAGGAAGAAGGAAUACUUCUAAGAGACUUUUUUUUAAAAGAGAUCAAACUGGCAAAUACAGGAUGAGGAAGCAGGGGCAAAGAGGGAAUGAGUACAUGAAUCAGUCUCAUACAGCUUGUAAAUGGUGGGACCAAGAUUGAGACAGCCUGAUUCCAGUGUCCAUGCACUUAACUACUAUGCGUGAUUAAACAUUAAUUUAAGUAUUAAUUAAUUAUUAAACAAAAAAACAAAGCAAAACACCUGUCCUUUAAAAAUGAUUAAAUUAUUUUAUUAAAAAAAUUACUGUAUUAUGUAUGAUGGAUUAUUACGUAGGUAUGAUUGACAGACAAAAAGGUAUACAUACCUAACGUAUAAAACUUAAUGAGUUUGAAGAUAAGUAUACACCUAUGAGACCAUUAUCACAAUCUAUGCCAUAAACAUAUCCAC
rnacentral:lncRNA from 1 species